rnacentral:rRNA from 1 species
UUUGAAAUCUGGUCCCCAGGGCCCGAGUUGUAAUUUGUAGAGGAUGCUUUUGGCGCGGCGCCUUCCGAGUUCCCUGGAACGGGACGCCAUAGAGGGUGAGAGCCCCGUCUGGUCGGAUGCCUAGCCUCUGUAAAGCUCCUUCGACGAGUCGAGUAGUUUGGGAAUGCUGCUCAAAAUGGGAGGUAUAUGUCUUCUAAAGCUAAAUAUUGGCCAGAGACCGAUAGCGCACAAGUAGAGUGAUCGAAAGAUGAAAAGCACUUUGAAAAGAGGGUUAAAAAGUACGUGAAAUUGUUGAAAGGGAAGCGCCCAUGACCAGACUUGGGCCCGGUGAAUCAUCCAGCGUUCUCGCUGGUGCACUUUGCCGGGCACAGGCCAGCAUCAGUUUGGCGCGGGGGAUAAAGGCUCUGGGAAUGUGGCUCCCUCGGGAGUGUUAUAGCCCACUGCGCAAUACCCUGCGCCGGACUGAGGUACGCGCAUCGCAAGGAUGCUGGCGUAAUGGUCAUCAGCGACCCGUCUUGAAACACGGACCAAGGAGUCGUCUUCGUAUGCGAGUGUUCGGGUGUCAAACCCCUACGCGUAAUGAAAGUGAACGCAGGUGAGAGCUUCGGCGCAUCAUCGACCGAUCCUGAUGUUCUCGGAUGGAUUUGAGUAAGAGCAUACGGGGCCGGACCCGAAAGAAGGUGAACUAUGCCUGUAUAGGGUGAAGCCAGAGGAAACUCUGGUGGAGGCUCGCAGCGGUUCUGACGUGCGAAUCGAUCGUCAAAUAUGGGCAUGGGGGCGAAAGACUAAUCGAACCUUCUAGUAGCUGGUUUC